rfam:Nematostella vectensis strain CH2 x CH6 NEMVEscaffold_273_Cont21882, whole genome shotgun sequence.
UUAUGUGAUCUGAUGAUUGAACACAAAUGCAUAGUUCAUCUGACUCAGAUGACGACAAAUGUUUCGCCCCUAUCUGACAUCACAAUU